UUCAGUUGGGCACUCUAAGGUGACUGCCGGUGACAAACCGGAGGAAGGUGGGGAUGACGUCAAAUCAUCAUGCCCCUUAUGACCUGGGCUACACACGUGCUACAAUGGACAGAACAAAGGGCAGCGAAACCGCGAGGUUAAGCCAAUCCCACAAAUCUGUUCUCAGUUCGGAUCGCAGUCUGCAACUCGACUGCG
rnacentral:rRNA from 1 species